GAUGAACGCUGACAGAAUGCUUAACACAUGCAAGUCAACUUGAACUUCGGUUUGGGUGGCGGACGGGUGAGUAACGCCUAAAGAACUUGCCUCACAGAUAGGGACAACAUUUGGAAACGAAUGCUAAUACCUGAUAUUAUGAUUUUAGGGCAUCCUAGGAUUAUGAAAGCUAUAUGCGCUGUGAGAGAGCUUUGCGUCCCAUUAGCUAGUUGGAGAGGUAACGGCUCACCAAGGCGAUGAUGGGUAGCCGGCCUGAGAGGGUGAUCGGCCACAAGGGGACUGAGACACGGCCCUUACUCCUACGGGAGGCAGCAGUGGGGAAUAUUGGACAAUGGACCAAGAGUCUGAUCCAGCAAUUCUGUGUGCACGAUGAAGUUUUUCGGAAUGUAAAGUGCUUUCAGUUGGGAAGAAAAAAAUGACGGUACCAACAGAAGAAGUGACGGCUAAAUACGUG
rnacentral:rRNA from 1 species